UGGCUGUGGUGUCCUGUUACUUCCAGUGAUGUCCACACCUACUGCACUGCCAUCGGCCUAUCGCCGCAGGACUUUGGUUUGAUGUCGUGACGUGCGCUG